GCCCGUAUAGCUCAGUGGUAGAGCGUAUCACUUGUAUUGCCGACUAGCGCGGCAGUCAUUGUGCGAGAUGCUAAGGUCCAUGGUUCAAUCCCAUGUGCGGGCA
rfam:Sporothrix schenckii ATCC 58251 unplaced genomic scaffold supercont1.5, whole genome shotgun sequence.